rnacentral:rRNA from 1 species
UACGGAGGGAGCUAGCGUUAUUCGGAAUUACUGGGCGUAAAGCGUACGUAGGCGGCUUUGCAAGUUAGAGGUGAAAGCCUGGAGCUCAACUCCAGAACUGCCUUUAAAACUGCAUCGCUUGAAUCCAGGAGAGGUGAGUGGAAUUCCGAGUGUAGAGGUGAAAUUCGUAGAUAUUCGGAAGAACACCAGUGGCGAAGGCGGCUCACUGGACUGGUAUUGACGCUGAGGUACGAAAGCGUGGGGAGCGAACAGG